rnacentral:rRNA from 1 species
UACAGAGGGUGCAAGCGUUAAUCGGAAUUACUGGGCGUAAAGCGCGCGUAGGUGGUUUGUUAAGUUGGAUGUGAAAGCUCCGGGCUCAACCUGGGAACUGCAUCCAAAACUGGCAAGCUAGGGUACAGUAGAGGGUGGUGGAAUUUCCUGUGUAGCGGUGAAAUGCGUAGAUAUAGGAAGGAACACCAGUGGCGAAGGCGACCACCUGGACUGAUACUGACACUGAGGUGCGAAAGCGUGGGGAGCAAACAGG